AACAAAUGAUUAUAAGGAGCCUUAGGUGAGGACACAAUGAGAAGAUGUCCUUCUGCAAACCAGAAGAGUCCCUCAUUACACUGAAUCUACCAGCACCUAUAUCCUGGACUUCCCAGAUUUUAGAACUGGCCACUCUGACCUUCCCUCCCAGGAAUUUGAAUCCCAGCCAUCAACAUAGAAGAGAAAAUGGGAGGAGAUGAAGCACACCAAUUCUGUGUCAUGGACGAAUUUCCCACCCUUUUCUGCCAACUUUCCUGGGUCCUGUCCCUUGCAAAAGCCGGUUGUUUUACUCGCUUUUUGGUUUAUGAGUUGCCUUGAAUCCUUUCAAUAAAAUCCUUUUG